AAUUGCAUUGCCAAUGUCAAUGUCAAAUCGUCACACUUUAUAUAUGACAAAUUCACUCAAAAUGGCGGAUUCAAAUAUGAUAACCAAUAAAAGAGGCCAUUUUCAAUCAAAGAAUCAAAUAAAUGCAAUCAAAAAUGAAAUAAACAUCAAAAUAAACUUUCAAAAAUACGAAGUAAAGAAGAUUUAAAAAAUGUACCUUUGCCUAAUUAGUAAAUUCCAAUACGAGCGCCAUUUUAACCCGGAAGUUAAAUUAGUAAUGGAUGACCUUGACCCGUAUAAACCACAAAACCAACAAAACCAACAAAAACAUCAAGCAAAGCAAAAAAAUACAAACAAAUCAACUAAAAAUAAAGAAAAACGCACAAAAUCAAAAAUAAAUCAAAACAAAAGCAACAAAAAUGCAACAAACUUAAAAACCAAACCAAGAAAAACCUUAAAGAUGCGAGACGCAGCCAACACCAAAGAUGGCGAAGAGGUCAUCGAUGGCACCAACCCCAACACCUCCCAAUCCCUACCCGGAAACAGCGAACGCACUUUACUCACGAAGGCCCAAACCUAUUUCGCUGACGAAAAGGUUCAAAUACCGGAAACUGAAGACACGAAAUUCAGCUUCCGGAAACUAUGGGCCUUCACCGGUCCAGGUUUCCUCAUGUCCAUCGCCUACCUGGACCCCGGCAACAUCGAAAGCGACCUACAAUCCGGCACAAUCGCCCAAUACAAACUCCUCUGGGUCCUACUCUCUGCAACUGUCUUAGGUCUCCUCAUGCAACGCUUAUCCGCCCGGUUGGGCGUAGUCACAGGCCUGCACCUCGCCGAAAUGUGCUACCGUCAAUACAGAAAAUUCCCUAGACUCCUCCUAUGGAUAAUGGUAGAGAUAGCCAUCAUCGGGUCUGACAUGCAGGAAGUCAUCGGCACCGCCAUCGCAUUAUACCUCCUAUCAAACAAGUACAUCGAAUUAUGGGUGGGGGUACUCAUCACCAUAGUAGACACCUUCACAUUUCUCUUCCUGGAUAAAUACGGACUACGAAAAUUGGAGUUGUUUUUUGGAGCGUUGAUAAGUGUUAUGGCUGUGAGUUUUGGUUAUGAAUACAUCAUAUCCAGCCCACCACAGGUUGACGUAGUGGAGGGGAUGUUCUUCCCUUGGUGCACAGGAUGUGAUUCCAAAGCACUCCUCCAAGCUGUAGGAAUCGUUGGAGCUGUGAUAAUGCCUCAUAACCUAUACCUACACUCCGCUUUAGUAAAAUCCAGGGAUAUCGACCGUACAAAACCCGCAAAAGUCCGCGAAGCUAAUAAAUACUUCUUCAUUGAAGCAGCCAUUGCCCUAUUCGUCAGUUUCAUUAUCAACGUCUUCGUAGUAGCUGUCUUCGCACAUGGGUUAUUCCAGAAGACCAAUAAUCAAAUGAGGGACACCUGUGCAAGUCAGCCAUAUUUGAAUGGUACCUCUGAGUUCCCCGCGAAUGAUGAUUACGUCGAGGCGGAUUUAUACAAAGGCGGGAUCUUUCUGGGUUGUACUUUUGGUAUGGCAGCGUUGUAUAUCUGGGCAGUGGGUAUCCUGGCAGCUGGUCAAUCAUCCACGAUGACUGGGACCUACGCUGGGCAGUUCACCAUGGAAGGCUUCUUGAAUCUUCAAUGGGCCAGGUGGAAGCGGGUGUUGUUUACAAGAACCAUUGCGAUUGUCCCCACAUUCUGCUUGGCUUUCUUCAGUCAGAUUCAGGACCUUACAGGGAUGAAUGACAUCUUGAAUGCUAUCAUGUCUUUACAGUUGCCGUUCGCGACGAUACCAACGAUAGCAUUUACUAGUAACCCACAGAUUAUGGGGGAGUUUGUUAAUGGAUGGUUAAAUAAAGUGAUAGCUACGUUGUUAUCCAUUGUGGUGAUAGGCAUCAACACUUACUUUGUGAUUGAAACAGUAAAAGCCGCAGAGCUAGAAUGGGCUUCGCUGACCUUGAUUGUCCUCUUCGGGAUAUUAUACCUGGUGUUCUGCGGGUAUCUGGUGAUACACAUGGCGAUCUCCAUGGGUAACACACGUCUAAUGCAAUAUGAUUUCGUGCAGAAGUAUAUUGUUGGUCCUACGGAUACUUCUACACUGACGAAUCCCAGUAAUUAUUCGAGCUGGUCUAUUGAUGUGGACGCCUAAGCCCUCAAACUGAAGGCGGUCGCCAACGAGGUCACACUUCUUACAUAACCGCACACCACACGCCACUCGUGUACAUAACCACAAUCAAUACAAGUUGUACAUAACCUCGAAAGUGUGACUAUGUGACUAAAACUCUACUUUUUUUUACUUCUAUUUUCUUAUUUAAUUAACUAAAAACUGUUUUUGUUUGUAACUAUUUUUCUAUCGCACGCAGCGCGAGUACUCUGCCAGCAUUCGGCGCACCUUCAUACACACGUUUUGAAAACGUUAACGAUAACACCCUGUAGGUGCACCUAAACGCAUGCUUUCGCAUACCGUGCAAGAUGUGCCGAUGGACACGCAACAAUCGCAAAACUCGAAGGAAGUAACGCCGAUCAGUUACAAACAACGACUUGA